AUAGAUCGAUCUAUGGGAUUUGUAACUGUUUCAGAAUCAUCUAUAAACUCUGAACACUUUUUUUGUGCUUCAACACACUGAACUCCUCUUGCAUCUUUACUCACACUCAUGUUUUGUUCAGUGAAAUCAUGUCUUCGUUUAGCACUUCUUGCUAGACGGUAUAAACUAUCUCUGAUGCACAGUCGUGUUCUGAUAUCCAACUGCUCAAUGACAUCCUGAAGCUGUUGAAAACUGGUUGCUUCUACUGAAAGAUCAUCAGGAACAGAUGCAAUGAAGGAGCCUGAUUGUGCCACCGA
rnacentral:misc_RNA from 1 species